rnacentral:tRNA from 1 species
GUUCUGCUAGCUCAGCCGGUAGAGCACUUGACUUUUAAUCAAGGGGUCCGGAGUUCGAAUCUCCGGCAGAACACCA